rnacentral:lncRNA from 1 species
CCUGCGCGCGCGCAUCCUAUGCUACCGGUGUCGCUUACCGACGGCUGGACGUGUAAUUGAAUAGUACUUGCCGAUAUCGAUGACAUUUCCUACACAUCAAGCAUCUCGAAAGAACCCACACAUCUUCAACGUGUAACAACAGCAACGCAAACAGUGCAACAACGAACGGCCAUCAAGUACCCUAGUCGCCUAGACUAUCAAGCAGCGAGUUCCCACAACGAAAACCUCAUUACAUCCCCAUUUAGAAAAAAAAGGGAAACAAUUACAAAAGGUGUGUUGUGACGUCACACUCGAACCGUGUACACAUCCUUCCGACUGCCAUCAGUUUGUUCCCACGAGCUGGCCAAGCUUUGUUUAUACGAUCAUAAGUACCAUUCGCUUUUAAGGUCUUUGUUAGGCUUUUCAGGUCAUAGAAAAUUCAAAGCGAAGUGGGUGUUAAGUUAGAUUGAAUGGCCCUGGGAAUGUCAAACAUUAUACCAAUGUAUGUAUAGUAUAGCAAGUCUAACAUUUCGCUAUUCGAUGUUGAAGUACAUAUGUGGUGUUCAAACAUUUGAAAAAUAUCAUGCAGACAGAGAGAAAGCAUAAAAGCAUUAAGCAUUUCUAGUCCAGAAUGAAGAAUAAGUAAUACGCGAAUCUUUUGUUUGGGUUUGGAAAGAAUAAAUUAUUUUCGCAACCAAUUGUCCUGCAGAACUAUGAAAGGAUUUAUGCCAAUGCACAUUCUAUCUCACAACAUUGCGAUAAAGCCGUACUCUAACCGUUAUAUCGAAAUUCGGUAUUGAUUCGGACAGAAGCGUGGAAAUCAGUGCGUAGGGUGCGCGCACGCCGCCCUGCAGCGACCAAUCAGAGACGAGCCUGUGACAGAUGCGCGCGCAACACUAUUGUAGUCACAACUAUUGUGCGAUGGACAAAGUUGGGGUGGCGUGCGUGUGAGAGCAAACAUAUGAGCCAUACAUUACUCCACUGCAAUAAAAUAACGGUGGAAUGAUGAUACACAUUGUAUGCGGACGAGCGACGCCGACGCGCCAGAUAUCGGAUGACUCAAAUAUUGAGGAACGUUAUAUUUCCUAUCACUUUUGAAGCAGCCAUCUGUAAGGUAUAGUUCUACUUUGUUAACGCUCACCUUUGAAAACUUAGAACAGAAUUUUAUUAAUUAUCACAUUCAAAAUCACUGCAGUUUUUGAAGGCUACAAUAAUUACAAUCUCGUUGUUGUAGUUGGGAUCGCCGAUGUAAGUUCCCAGACACUUUAAUCUUAAAGUUCUUUACGCAUGCAUCACAUAUCUUUGUAUUAGGGGAAUAUCUGAUGAAUUCCAUUCAAUCAGUCAUGUCAAAUUGUACUUCACAGAUGCAUUAAGCUUCACAAUUACGAACAGCAUACCCUGAUUAACCCCUUGGACAAUGUUCGUUAAAUUCAAACUUGUUUAUCAAAAUGCUGGUUGUCGGGGCAACGCACCCUCUUGCCCCGUGCCCGGGCCAUCCCGCAGGUGUGCGCAGGAUUUAAUCAACUGAUUGUUACUGACAUACGCACACACAAGCAUACCUACCUAUGUGUUGGGGUAAGGGGACUUACCGUUGUAGAGGUAAACAAUAGCCUAAAAUAUUGGAGGUAAAACAAUCGAUCGAUGCGUGUGUAAAAAGCGGUUAAAUUGAUGAGAUAGGUUUUGGGGUUGUUUAUCCAUGUGUCAGCUUAAACAUGUCUCAAACAGAACCCGUAAAAUUUUCACAAUGAAUGUACAUCGAAUGUCUAAACAUGAUCUGGCUUUUACUGAUAGUAGAAAACCUUUUACUGAUAGUAAAAAAUAAUGUUGCAUUCCCACAAAAAAGCAUGUUAAGGAAUCACCAUAAAAAUAAAGCUCAUUAAGCAAAUCCGUAUUCGGCCAUGAUCAUAAAAAUAUUUCAUGUAAACAUGAAUGGAUGCAUUCUUUGUCCCCUCCGUCUAUAAUCUGGCAUAAUAGUGGAGUAAUUUACGGACUCUUUGGUCGAUUGGCGAAAAAAAAAGAAAAAAGGAGAGAAUAAAAAGCUGUGUAAGCAUCGGGUAUGACAGUGCAAGAGCGCGGAGCUCCGCUGCGCCGGCGCACGUGCCCGCCACGCGCCGCACGCGCCAAACACGCGCACCUUGCGACCGUCUGCAUAAACAUCAAGUAUUUAUUAUUUUUAGAUUGUUUACCUGUGUGACCUGUAUGACCUAUGUUUUGAAUAAGUACUCGAUACUCAAUUCUUUAUUAGCAUUCCAUAUGUUAUACAGGUAGUACAUUUUACAGUCUAGACACAAUAUGGAGGGUCCACAGGGCACUGUCCAGUACCCUAUGGACCUAGAACCUACAUUAUAUUGAUGAAUUGAGAUGAAUGACACCGCUAGCGCAAAACAGUCCUGUAACAAGUAAGUAAUAAGCAAAUUAAUGGUGUACGAGACUGGCACGUGACAGUAAGUUACAGGCCACAUGUUGAACCCUAUUUAUUACCUACAGAAAGUUAUAAUCAUUGCUUGUCAAUAUUUGUAAUUGUGGUUAAUAAAUAACAAUUAUCAUUGCUUGUUUUACAGAAAGUAAAAUAUAGAAGCACA